CAAUAAGCGGAGGAAAAGAAACUAACAAGGAUUCCCCUAGUAACUGCGAGUGAAGCGGGAUGAGCUCAAAUUUAAAAUCUGGCGUCUUCGGCGUCCGAGUUGUAAUUUAGAGAAGCGUUUUCCGCGCAGGACCGUGUACAAGUCUCCUGGAACGGAGCGUCAUAGAGGGUGAGAAUCCCGUCUUUGACACGGACCCCCUGUGCUCUGUGAUACGCUCUCGAAGAGUCGAGUUGUUUGGGAAUGCAGCUCAAAAUGGGUGGUGAACUCCAUCUAAAGCUAAAUAUUGGCGAGAGACCGAUAGCGAACAAGUACCGUGAGGGAAAGAUGAAAAGCACUUUGGAAAGAGAGUGAAACAGUACGUGAAAUUGUUGAAAGGGAAACGCUUGAAGUCAGUCGCGUCCGCCGGGAUUCAGCCGCAAGGUGUACUUUCCGGUGGACGGGCCAGCAUCACUUUCGAUCAUCGGAAAAGGGCGAGUGGAAUGUGGCACCUCCGGGUGUGUUAUAGCCUCUCGUCGUAUACGGUGACCGGGAGUGAGGACCGCCYUUUGUAGGAUGCUGGCGUAAUGGCUUUAAACGACCCGUCUUGAAACACGGACCAAGGAGUCUAACAUGCCCGCGAGUGUUCGGGUGGAAAACCCGUGCGCGUAAUGAAAGUGAAAGUUGGGAAGGCUGUCGCGGCCUGCACCGACGCCCGGACUUGAGAUUUAUCGAAGGUUCUGCGGUAGAGCGUGUAUGUUGGGACCCGAAAGAUGGUGAACUAUGCCUGAAUAGGGUGAAGCCAGAGGAAACUCUGGUGGAGGCUCGUAGCGAUUCUGACGUGCAAAUCGAUCGUCAAAUUUGGGUAUAGGG
rnacentral:rRNA from 1 species